UCCCUGGUGGUCCAAUAGCUAAGACUCUGAACUCCCAAUGCAGGAGGCCCAGGUUCGAUUCCUGGUCAGGCAA
rnacentral:tRNA from 1 species